GAUGAACGCUAGCGGCAGGCUUAACACAUGCAAGUCGAGGGCAGCAUGAGACGGAGAUUCGUCGAAGUCUUGAUGGCGACCGGCGCAAGGGUGCGUAACGCGUGAGCAACUUGCCCGUUUCUGGGGAAUAACCGGUGGAAACGCCGACUAAUACCCCAUAGUAUUGAGUUUAGGCAUCUUUACUCAAUUAAAGAAUUUCGGAAACGGAUAGGCUCGCGUGACAUUAGCUAGAUGGCGGGGUAACGGCCCACCAAGGCGACGAUCAGUAGCCGACUUGAGAGAGUGAUCGGCCACAUUGGGACUGAGACACGGCCCAAACUCCUACGGGAGGCAGCAGUGGGGAAUAUUGCACAAUGGGGGAAACCCUGAUGCAGCGACGCCGCGUGAGCGAAGAAGUAUUUCGGUAUGUAAAGCUCUAUCAGCAAGGAAGAUAAUGACGGUACUUGACUAAGAAGCCCCGGCUAACUACGUG
rnacentral:rRNA from 1 species